rnacentral:rRNA from 1 species
GUAACAGCCCACCAAGGCGACGAUGGGUAGCCGACCUGAGAGGGUGAUCGGCCACAUUGGGACUGAGACACGGCCCAGACUCCUACGGGAGGCAGCAGUGAGGAAUAUUGGUCAAUGGGCGAGAGCCUGAACCAGCCAAGUCGCGUGAGGGAUGAAUGGUCUAUGGCCUGUAAACCUCUUUUGUCAAGGAAGAAUAAAUCGCACGGGUGCGAUCUUGCCAGUACUUGACGAAUAAGCAUCGGCUAACUCCGUGCCAGCAGCCGCGGUAAUACGGGGGAUGCGAGCGUUAUCCGGAUUUAUUGGGUUUAAAGGGCGCGUAGGCGGGACGUCAAGUCAGCGGUAAAAGACUGCAGCUAAACUGUAGCACGCCGUUGAAACUGGCGCCCUCGAGACGAGACGAGGGAGGCGGAACAAGUGAAGUAGCGGUGAAAUGCAUAGAUAUCACUUGGAACCCCGAUAGCGAAGGCAGCUUCCCAGGCUCGAUCUGACGCUGAUGCGCGAGAGCGUGGGUAGCGAACAGG